rnacentral:misc_RNA from 1 species
UCCGACUUAACGUCGGCAGUCUCGCCAGAGUGCCCAACUGAAUGAUGGCAACUGACGACAGGGGUUGCGCUCGUUGCGGGACUUAACCCAACAUCUCACGGCACGAGCUGACGACAGCCAUGCAGCAUCUGUGCAUGAGCUCCGAAGAGCAGCUCUGAUCUCUCAGAGCCUUCCCAUGCAUGUCAAGCCCAGGUAAGGUUCUUCGCGUUGCGUCGAAUUAAACCACAUGCUCCACCGCUUGCGCGGGCCCCCGUCAAUUCCUUUGAGUUUUAAUCUUGCGACCGUACUCCCCAGGCGGGGUGCUUAAAGCGUUAGCUGCGCUACUGACCGGCAAGCCGGCCAACAGCUAGCAUCCAUCGUUUACGGCGUGGACUAC